rnacentral:tRNA from 1 species
GCCGCUGUGGUGAAAUGGUAGACACAUGAAAUUCAAAAUUUCACGAGAAAACUCAUGUCGGUUCAAGUCCGACCAGCGG